CCGGGCGCUGGGUCACCGGUGGUUCAGCCAGUUCACGGCGCUGGUCGGCUUGUCGUUGUAGUCGAACAGGGCCUGGUUCUCCCAGGCGUCCUGG
rnacentral:tRNA from 1 species